ACUGGGAGUCGUGGCGUGCUCCUGUAAUCCAGCUACUUGGAGGUCGGGUAAUCUGGAUGGUUUGAGGCUGGGAGUCCUGGUUGGCAGUUCUCUGCGUCGACCCGAGCGUCCGCACUAAGCUUGUCAUCAAUAUGGUAACCCUGGAGGAGUCCGGGGUAACCAGGUUGGCUAAGGAGGGGCGAACCGGGCCAGGGGGGAAACCCAGCAGCCAAAAGUCCCCGUGGUGAGCAGUAGUGGGAUAGCGCUUGGGAGUAGGGUCUGUCAGUCAGCCCAGCCAAUAGAAUCGGACAGUUACCUUU
rnacentral:SRP_RNA from 1 species